rnacentral:rRNA from 1 species
ACGGGAGGCAGCAGUAGGGAAUCUUCGGCAAUGGGGGCAACCCUGACCGAGCAACGCCGCGUGAGUGAAGAAGGUUUUCGGAUCGUAAAGCUCUGUUGUAAGAGAAGAACGUUGAGUAGAGUGGAAAGUUACUCAAGUGACGGUAUCUUACCAGAAAGGGACGGCUAACUACGUGCCAGCAGCCGCGGUAAUACGUAGGUCCCGAGCGUUGUCCGGAUUUAUUGGGCGUAAAGCGAGCGCAGGCGGUUUAAUAAGUCUGAAGUUAAAGGCAGUGGCUCAACCAUUGUUUGCUUUGGAAACUGUUAAACUUGAGUGCAGAAGGGGAGAGUGGAAUUCCAUGUGUAGCGGUGAAAUGCGUAGAUAUAUGGAGGAACACCGGUGGCGAAAGCGGCUCUCUGGUCUGUAACUGACGCUGAGGCUCGAAAGCGUGGGUAGCGAACAGGAUUAGAUACCCUGGUA